rnacentral:rRNA from 1 species
UUAAAUUGAAGAGUUUGAUCAUGGCUCAGAUUGAACGCUGGCGGCAGGCCUAACACAUGCAAGUCGAACGGUAACAGGAAGAAGCUUGCUUCUUUGCUGACGAGUGGCGGACGGGUGAGUAAUGUCUGGGAAACUGCCUGAUGGAGGGGGAUAACUACUGGAAACGGUAGCUAAUACCGCAUAACGUCGCAAGACCAAAGAGGGGGACCUUCGGGCCUCUUGCCAUCGGAUGUGCCCAGAUGGGAUUAGCUUGUUGGUGGGGUAACGGCUCACCAAGGCGACGAUCCCUAGCUGGUCUGAGA